AGAUUCAUACACAAAUGGGGUGGGUUUUGGCCAAGAUUUUGGCGGAUCGGACGGCCCGGUUUUGCCUCCGCCGGCGGAGAUGGAGCCUGAGGAAGGUGUUGCUCUCAGGGAAUGGAGAAGGUUAUGAUCCAUUAAAAAAAUUUCAUGUUUUUUUGAAUAAUUUUGUCUUAUAUUAAAGUAUAGAGUUUGGGGAAGUUAAAGAGUUAGGAAUUGAAGUUAUGAAUAUGGCACUUAGGUAUUUUGGAAAUGUGCAAAAGAUCUAGAUUUAGUGAAUUUUUUAUCUUUAUGAAGAUUUUGAAUAUGUUUGGUUAAGUCAUAUUAGGGUGUAAAAGAACUGAAUUUUGUGAAAAGUUUUAAAUAAGUUUGGUUAAGCCAUAUUAGGGUUUAAGUAGGGAAAUCUAAGAAUUUAGUGCUAAUUUCUGGGAUUAGAAGUAGAGUUGUAGGAUUUUACUUCUCUUUGGAUUUAUUCUUUUAAGAGAUUGAAUCAAAGAGAAGGAAUGAGGUACUAGCAUGGGUGCACCAUAUAAGAAAUUCGGAUAGAAGAAUUGGGUCAAAAUAUGAAGUUAGAUUUCGGCAUGAAAAUGGAGUUGUAGCGCUAGUAAUUUCCCUCCAAGCUGGCAUUUUUAAAACUAAAGAUAAGCUAAUUGGUGGUAUCAUUGGAAAAAAGCAGUUUCCUGUCAAUUGGACACUCAAGCCAUUAUUGGACGGUAUCUGCAUCCUAAGAGCACAAAUCUAGAGUAUACUCUGGCUAGUUUGGAAAAAACGGAGAGCUAAAAUAUUUUAGGACAGGAUUGGUUGUGCGUUUACUUUUUUAUCACUUGUGAACUUUGGUCAUCUUAUAAAAGAAAAAAGAUUGAAUCAAGAGAAUAUCUGGAUUUUUUUUUUCCCUUUUUUGUAUUUCCUUUAAUAAUUUAUACAUUUCUUUUGAGUAAAUUUUGUAGUGGCUUAGCUUAGUUGGUUGGUGUACCCACCCUAAGCGGUGCACCAAGCCGUUUCGGAGUCCGAAUGCCAUGUAAGUGUUGGGUACAGAUAUGUAUCCAACAUAUAUAUCUUAAUUUUUUUUCCAUGUGUUAUGAGACCCUUGGAGGUUCUACCUCUAUACCUCCGGAUAUACCUCAGGCAUGGGUGUCAAGCAAGGAUGGCAACAGAGAGCAAGCCUUUCCCUUAUCACAGGCUACAGUCUCAUUUAUACCAAAAAGAUAAAUAAGUAAAUAAUGAAAAUGUGAAAGCUGUUGCUAAUUUUAUAGGUUUCAAUGGUGCUAAACGUGGGAAAUAUGACUGUUGUUAUUGCAUAGGGAGAAUGCAAUUCGGUUGGAGGAGAAGGAGAAGAGGGAGAAGGAGUUAUUGAGCCAAAUAAUUGAGGAAGCUGAUCAAUACAAAGUUGAGUUUUAUAAGAAAAGGGAGGUGACCUGUGAAAAUAACAAGGCCAAUAACAGAGACAAAGAGAAGGUAUCCUUUUUUUUUUGUUGUUGUUGAAGCUGUAUGCUAAUAUUUUUACAUUUUUAGAGAAGUUUGUAACUUGCCCAAAACAAAACAGAACUGAAAAAAGAAGGUAUUUUUUUUUCUUGUUCCAACUUCUAAUCGUGCAUGAACUGUUAGGUGCUAAAUGCGGCAUGCAUUCUUUAGUCGGUAUUUAACUGCUGAUGUUGAUAUUAUCAUGAUGUUCAUUGUCUAUGAUUGAACAUUGAGCUGGUAAUAUGCUCUGGGAUGGAAACAUUUUCUUAUCUCUUCAGUGACUGAAAACUCAAUACUCCUACUGGACGGAGGAUUGGUGUCACUUUACUUAUCGCCUUAUAAAGUAGGAACCGGUAAGUCAUUUGUAGAUGUAAAGUGAUUGAAACUACGACAUUCUUGGCCCAUUAUGUCACAUCUUUAAUCUGGAAAUUCAUUUUACUGAAUUAACUUGGUUUGUUGGGUUAUAGAAUAACAUUCUCAUAAAAUUUGCUUAUGUUUCGUUUACUAACAUCUUAGAUACAGAGCAAUGUGCCAAUGCCAUAUAUAAUGCACUAUAACUUGUAUUCUGUGUCAGAUAUUUGUAGCCAAUCAUGAGAAAUUCCAUGCCGAAGCUGAUAAGCAUUACUGGAAAGCAAUCGCGGAGCUCAUUCCUAAUGAAGUGCCAACCAUAGAGAAAAGGGGAAAAAAGGAGAAGGAGAAGAAGCCUUCCAUUGUUGUUGUCCAAGGUCCUAAGCCCGGGAAACCUACUGACCGUUCGAGGAUGAGACAGAUACUCGUGAAACUAAAGCACAACACACCUUCUCACCUGAAGCACUCUCCGCCGCCACCACCUGCAGCUGCUGCUGCAAAAGAUCAAGAUGCAAAAACUGGUAAUACUUCUUCUGUCCCAGCUGCUCUUCCAGUCACAAGCACCCCUGAAGCUGUAGUAGCUGCUUAGAUAGUUUUUAUUUUAACUUAUCAGCUUCUGUAAUAAAAAAG
rnacentral:lncRNA from 1 species